rnacentral:rRNA from 1 species
GACGAACGCUGGCGGCGUGCUUAACACAUGCAAGUCGAACGGUAAGGCCCUUCGGGGUACACGAGUGGCGAACGGGUGAGUAACACGUGGGGGAUCUGCCCUGCACUUCGGGAUAAGCCUGGGAAACUGGGUCGAAUACCGGACAGGACCACUGCCUGCAUGGGUGGUGGUGGAAGGCUUUUGCGGUGUGGGAUGGGCCCGCGGCCGAUCAGCUUGUUGGUGGGGUGAUGGCCUACCAAGGCGACGACGGGUAGCCGGCCUGGGAGGGUGACCGGCCACACUGGGACUGAGAUACGGCCCAGACUCCUACGGGAGGCAGCAGUGGGGAAUAUUGCACAAUGGGCGCAAGCCUGAUGCAGCGACGCCGCGUGAGGGAUGACGGCCUUCGGGUUGUAAACCUCUUUCAGCACCGACGAAGCACAAGUGACGGUAGGUGCAGAAGAAGGACCGGCCAACUACGUGCCAGCCGCCGCGGUAA